CGAGAGCCUGAUCCAGCAAUGCCGCGUGCAGGAUGAAGGCCUUCGGGUUGUAAACUGCUUUUGUACGGAACGAAAAGCUUCGGGUUAAUACCCUGGAGUCAUGACGGUACCGUAAGAAUAAGCACCGGCUAACUACGUGCCAGCAGCCGCGGUAAUACGUAGGGUGCAAGCGUUAAUCGGAAUUACUGGGCGUAAAGCGUGCGCAGGCGGUUUUGUAAGACAGAGGUGAAAUCCCCGGGCUCAACCUGGGAACUGCCUUUGUGACUGCAAGGCUAGAGUACGGCAGAGGGGGAUGGAAUUCCGCGUGUAGCAGUGAAAUGCGUAGAUAUGCGGAGGAACACCGAUGGCGAAGGCAAUCCCCUGGGCCUGUACUGACGCUCAUGCACGAAAGCGUGGGGAGCAAACAGGAUUAGAUACCCUGGUAGUCCACGCCCUAAACGAUGUCAACUGGUUGUUGGGUCUUAACUGACUCAGUAACGAAGCUAACGCGUGAAGUUGACCGCCUGGGGAG
rnacentral:rRNA from 1 species